rnacentral:rRNA from 1 species
UACGAAGGGGGCUAGCGUUGUUCGGAAUUACUGGGCGUAAAGCGCACGCAGGCGGAUUUAUAAGUCAGGGGUGAAAUCCCGGGGCUCAACCUCGGAAUUGCCUUUGAUACUGUCUAUCUUGAGUCCGGGAGAGGUGAGUGGAAUUCCUAGUGUAGAGGUGAAAUUCGUAGAUAUUAGGAAGAACACCAGUGGCGAAGGCGGCUCACUGGCCCGGUACUGACGCUCAUGUGCGAAAGCGUGGUGAGCAAACGGG